GACGAACGCUGGCGGCGUGCUUAACACAUGCAAGUCGAACGGAAAGGCUCCAGCUUGCUGGAGUAUUCGAGUGGCGAACGGGUGAGUAACACGUGGGUAAUCUGCCCUGCACUCUGGGAUAAGCCUGGGAAACUGGGUCUAAUACUGGAUAUGACCUUUCUCCUUAUGGGGUUUGGUGGAAAGUUUUUCGGUGUAGGAUGAGCCCGCGGCCUAUCAGCUUGUUGGUGGGGUGAUGGCCUACCAAGGCGACGACGGGUAGCCGGCCUGAGAGGGUGAUCGGCCACAUUGGGACUGAGAUACGGCCCAGACUCCUACGGGAGGCAGCAGUGGGGAAUAUUGCACAAUGGGCGGAAGCCUGAUGCAGCGACGCCGCGUGAGGGAUGACGGCCUUCGGGUUGUAAACCUCUUUCAGCAGGGACGAAGCGUAAGUGACGGUACCUGCAGAAGAAGCACCGGCUAACUAUGUG
rnacentral:rRNA from 1 species